GAUUUAUUUUAAUCCAGAAAAGGGACAUUCAAUAUUUGUCCUGCAAAGCUGUAAUAAAGUUGACAAAAUGAUACAUUUAUAUAUAGAACAUGUACCAAAAUUGUCUCCAUUAUUUUCUUAUUCUAGAAUAGCAGUCUUUCUAAAACUUAAAAGUUCAAACAACCAACUUGGAUUACACAUAAAAACAUGCAUGCACUCUGGUCCUCUUCAGCUAUAAUAAGUCCGAUAAGGUGGGAUACUUUGUUCAUUUCUGAAAAAAUUGCUGGGAUCCACCUUACUCUUUAUUUUGGCCAAUCUCUCAAAGUUGCCAUUGAAAUACUUUUCACCCCAGAUUUUGGCCUUUGAAUAGCUGUAAGCUUCUUGAUUAGUUCCAAAAUCAAGGUCCCUAUAAUUCAGAUAAGCAGUUCUUGGAGAUUUUGCGUCCUCUUCAUUAGUUCCAAAAUCAAGGUCCCUGUAAUUCAAAUAUGCAGUUCUUGGAGAUUUUGCACCAUAUGGCUCCAUUUCCUUGUAAAGUUUCCUAAUCCAUGCUAUCUUCUGGCUUGACACACUCUUACUAUUGUUACCCCAGUUGACCAAGUACUGAAU
rnacentral:lncRNA from 1 species